rnacentral:rRNA from 1 species
UAGGUAGCGCCUCGUGAAUUCAUCUCCGGGGGUAGAGCACUGUUUCGGCUAGGGGGCCAUCCCGGCUUACCAACCCGAUGCAAACUGCGAAUACCGGAGAAUGUUAUCACGGGAGACACACGGCGGGUGCUAACGUCCGUCGUGAAGAGGGAAACAACCCAGACCGCCAGCUAAGGUCCCAAAGUCAUGGUUAAGUGGGAAACGAUGUGGGAAGGCCCAGACAGCCAGGAUGUUGGCUUAGAAGCAGCCAUCAUUUAAAGAAAGCGUAAUAGCUCACUGGUCGAGUCGGCCUGCGCGGAAGAUGUAACGGGGCU